GGGUACAACCAUAUUUGGCCGAAUGCACCGCAUCCCGUCCGAUUUGCAAAUUUAAGCGGCCACAGGCCCCUUUAGUACGGCGAUCAGUGAUGGCGCUGGAACCCUGGGUGCCGUACCCU
rnacentral:rRNA from 1 species